rnacentral:rRNA from 1 species
CCUACGGGAGGCAGCAGUGAGGAAUAUUGGUCAAUGGACGAGAGUCUGAACCAGCCAAGUCGCGUGAAGGAUGACUGCCCUAUGGGUUGUAAACUUCUUUUAUAUGGGAAUAAAAUGUUCCACGUGUGGGCUUUUGUAUGUACCAUAUGAAUAAGGAUCGGCUAACGCCGUGCCAGCAGCCGCGGUAAUACGGAGGAUCCGAGCGUUAUCCGGAUUUAUUGGGUUUAAAGGGAGCGUAGGUGGAUUGUUAAGUCAGUUGUGAAAGUUUGCGGCUGAACCGUAAAAUUGCAGUUGAAACUGGCAGUCUUGAGUACAGUAGAGGUGGGCGGAAUUCGUGGUGUAGCGGUGAAAUGCUUAGAGAUCACGAAGAACUCCGAUGGCGAAGGCAGCUCACUGGGCUGCAACUGACACUGAGGCUCGAAAGUGUGGGUAUCAAACAGGAUUAGAUACCCGAGUAGUC